rnacentral:lncRNA from 1 species
GUAAAUAUGUGGAUGCACUAUAUCAAGUUCAGAAAGUUCUGUAUUUCUAUUUUUCUCAGAAUUUUUAAUCAUGAAUGGAUGUUGAAUUUACUCAAAUGUUUUUCUAUACCAAUUGACAUGACCAUAUGAUUUUUUAUUCUUUAGUUUGCUAAUGUGGAACACAUUGAUUUUUUUCUAAUGUGCCAGCUUUGAAUUCUUGAUAUAAAACCUAAUUGGUUGAUAUUUUUAUCCAUAUUCAUGAGAGAGAUUGGUGAAUACUUUUCUUGGUACUGUCUGUGUGUGAUUUUGAUAUUAGGAUAAUAGUAGCCUUAUAAAAUGAAUUCCAAAUGUUCCCUCCUAUAAUUGAGAAGAUAUUGUGUGGACUUGGUGCUAUUUCUUUAUUAAAAGUUUGGUAUAAUUUUCCAGCAAAACCAUCUGGGCUUGGAGAUUUCUUUUGGGUAGUUUUAAAAUUACUAAUUUGGCUGGGUGUGGUAGCACAUGCCUGUAAUCCCAGCAACUUGUGAGGCUGAAACAGGAGGAAUGCAAGUUUGAGAUCAUUCUCACCAAUUAGUGAGGCUCUGUUGGAAAAUAAAAAGAGAUAAGGUUAUAGCUCAGUGGUAAAGUAACUCUGGGUUCAUUCUUAGUAUGGAAAAAACUACUAAUAUAAUUCUGUUAUAAUGCCAUUAAAAAUAUAUAUUUUAUAUUAAGUGAGGUCCAGGUAGUAUAUUUUUAGGAAUAAUUCCAUAUCAUAUAACUUGCCAAAUUUAUUUCUGGAGACUUUUUC